rnacentral:tRNA from 1 species
GGAGAGGUGCCGGAGCGGCUGAUCGGGCACGCUUGGAAAGCGUGUGACCUCGAAAGGGGUCCGUGGGUUCAAAUCCCACCCUCUCCG